rnacentral:rRNA from 1 species
GACGGUACUUGAUGAAUAAGCCACGGCUAAUUCCGUGCCAGCAGCCGCGGUAAUACGGGAGUGGCAAGCGUUAUCCGGAAUUAUUGGGCGUAAAGCGUCCGCAGGCGGUUUUACAAGUCUGUCGUUAAAACGUGGAGCUCAACUCCAUUUCGGCGAUGGAAACUGUAAGACUAGAGUGUGGUAGGGGCAGAGGGAAUUCCCGGUGUAGCGGUGAAAUGCGUAGAUAUCGGGAAGAACACCAGUGGCGAAGGCGCUCUGCUGGGCCAUAACUGACGCUCAUGGACGAGAGCCAGGGGAGCGAAAGGGAUUAGAUACCCCUGUAGUCCUGGCCGUAAACGAUGAACACUAGGUGUCGGGGGAAUCGACCCCCUCGGUGUCGUAGCCAACGCGUUAAGUGUUCCGCCUGGGGAGUACGCACGCAAGUGUGAAACUCAAAGGAAUUGACGGGGGCCCGCACAAGCGGUGGAGUAUGUGGUUUAAUUCGAUGCAACGCGAAGAACCUUACCAGGGUUUGACAUCCUGCGAAUUCCUUGGAAACUUGGAAGUGCCUUCGGGAGCGCAGUGACAGGUGGUGCAUGGCUGUCGUCAGCUCGUGUCGUGAGAUGUUGGGUUAAGUCCCGCAACGAGCGCAACCCACGUCUUUAGUUGCCAGCAUUAAGUUGGGCACUCUAGAGAGACCGCCGGUGAUAAACCGGAGGAAGGUGUGGAUGACGUCAAGUCAUCAUGCCCCUUACAUCCUGGGCUACACACGUACUACAAUGCUACGGACAAAGGGCAGCAAACUCGCGAGAGCUAGCAAAUCCCAUAAACCGUGGCUCAGUUCAGAUCGUAGGCUGCAACUCGCCUACGUGAAGGAGGAAUCGCUAGUAAUCGCAGGUCAGCAUACUGCGGUGAAUACGUUCCCGGGCCUUGUACACACCGCCCGUCACACCAUGGAAGUUGGCCACGCCCGAAGUCGUUACUCCAACCCUUGUGGAGGAGGAUGC